rnacentral:rRNA from 1 species
AACACGGACCAAGGAGUGCAACAUGCGUGCGAGUCUUGGGGUGGCAAACCCGUCGGCGCAAUGAAAGUGAAGGCAGGCGUCGGGUCUGCCGAGGCGAGAGCCUCCCCCGCGGAGGCCCAUCGUCGACCGAUCCCAAGCCACGCCGUGGCGGGAUUUGAGUGAGAGCGUGCCUGUUGCGACCCGAAAGAUGGUGAACUAUGCCUGAAUAGGGCGAAGCCAGGGGAAACUCUGGUGGAAGCUCGCAGCGAUUCUGACGUGCAAAUCGAUCGUCAAAUUUGGGUAUAGGGGCGAAAGACUAAUCGAACCAUCUAGUAGCUGGUUCCCUCCGAAGUUUCCCUCAGGAUAGCUGGAGCCCGGUGCAGUUUUAUCAGGUAAAGCGAAUGAUUAGAGGUCUUGGGGUUGAAACAACCUCAACCUAUUCUCAAACUUUAAAUGGGUAAGAAGCCCGGCUUGCUCAAGUGAAGUCGGGCGUCGAAUGCCGGGGUUCCUAGUGGGCCAUUUUUGGUAAGCAGAACUGGCGAUGUGGGAUGAACCAAAUGCCGGGUUAAGGUGCCCGAAUCGACGCUCAUCAGAUCCCAUGAAAGGUGUUGGUUGAUAUAGACAGCAGGACGGUGGCCAUGGAAGUCGGAAUCCGCUAAGGAGUGUGUAACAACUCACCUGCCG